CCUACGGGAGGCAGCAGUGGGGAAUAUUGCACAAUGGGCGAAAGCCUGAUGCAGCGACGCCGCGUGAGCGAAGAAGUAUUUCGGUAUGUAAAGCUCUAUCAGCAGGGAAGAUAAUGACGGUACCUGACUAAGAAGCACCGGCUAAAUACGUGCCAGCAGCCGCGGUAAUACGGAGGAUCCGAGCGUUAUCCGGAUUUAUUGGGUUUAAAGGGAGCGUAGAUGGAUGUUUAAGUCAGUUGUGAAAGUUUGCGGCUCAACCGUAAAAUUGCAGUUGAUACUGGUUUCCUUGAGUGCAGUUGAGGCAGGCGGAAUUCGUGGUGUAGCGGUGAAAUGCUUAGAUAUCACGAAGAACCCCGAUUGCGAAGGCAGCUUACCAAACUAUAUCUGACGUUGAGGCACGAAAGCGUGGGGAGCAAACAGGAUU
rnacentral:rRNA from 1 species